CAAGGGCAGGAGGGCCUAAAAGAAGGAGCUUGACCAGCCACCAAUCAAAAGGGAGUUUCGGCUCCUCCGACUCCUUUGCCCCGCCCCCUUGGGGCGUCUCUGUGGAAACGAAGAGAAGCGGUGGUUACUACACCUGGAAGGGGCGGGAGCAAAAAGUUGAGUGACAGGAAGGGCAGCGUCCACCUGGUGGGCUGUGCGGCUGCGUAAAUUUCGAGGUGGGCUGCGCAGCGGUGCAGGGGAGCGGCGCCUGGGCGCGGGCGGGCGUCCUCCCUCGGUCACGAGUGGACGGGAAGGAAAGGAGGUGACGUCAGGCUCCCUGGGACCUCAGCCUGCAACCUGAGCCAACCCCAUUCUAGGGCUGUUUCCAUUGCCUUCGGUGCUGUCCUCCCCGCCUAGCUCGGCCUCCACGCAGAGGGUCCGGUGUGUCUCUGGGCAUCGUCCGGUGUGGUCGCUACUGCGUUGUGGUCAUCCUGAGCCCGGAAGUGUAGAGGGUCUAAACUGAGAGCGCUGUCGGUGUCAGACACAUCCUUCAUAUCAGAUACCAUACAGUGCUGCUAAUGUCAGACGUGCGAUGAAAAGACCCUGGCCUUGGCCUUGAGCCUCCAUCUUGAGUUCCUCUGGAACUCAGAGGCCUGGCUCAGGUCACCUUGAGAUGUCCUUAAAGGAAGAGCUCUGAGUCAGAGAUCCAGGUUGGGGCCAAGGUCAUAGAAAAUGGAAUCACAGUGCCCUUUGAGUCUAGCUUCUUUCACAAACAGUGUGUUUGAAGUGCCUGUACAGUGUUGCCUGUACCCAGAGUGCAUCCCUUUUUAUGGCUGCAUAAUAUUCCAUUGCGUGGGUGGAUCAGUUUCUUUAUCUAUUUAGCCUUUGAAGGUCAUGAAGUUUUUUGUUUGGGCUUGGCUUGGUUUAUUUCCACUACUGGGGACUGAACCUGGGGACACUCUAACACUGAGCUACACUCCCAGCCCUUUUUAUUUUU